rnacentral:sRNA from 1 species
GUGACAGCGCUAGAAAGUGAAGUCCUCUGUUUAUCUGGACAAUUGGUGCAGAAGACUAUUGGCAAUGCAAGUUUCUCCCCAUAACCCCAUCUGUGUUUUGCAGCUGUAACUUUGAGGGAUCACCUUUAGGAACAAGGAGAUGACUUGAAAUGUGUACUCUUUCCAUUCUUAGCCUCU